GUGCGUAACUUACGGGUAUUUAGCUAAGCUGUUGUGCUGCGUCAUCGACUCAUCACUCGUUACUUUGUCUUACUGGAUUUUUGUAAAGGGAUAUAUGGCGGUGGUCUCUUUUUCUCUUCUCUCCUUUUUCUCUUCUCUUCUUUCUUUCUUUCUUUCUUUUUCUUUUUUUUUCAUCCUCUUGGAAGCUGAUCUAGAGCUAGUUGCGGAUUAGGCGCAUAAGACCAAACCUCUGGAAAAUGGUGUGAACAGGCUUUUAAAUUUUGUUUGCGCUGGUGUUUCAUCAGGAGCAAAGAACACAUUGAGAUUCUUUGAUUUCCACGAGAACCUGGCCAAACUUCCAAGUUGGCUGGUUAUGUCUCUGAAAUAUGUUCCACAGAACGCCGCUUGACAUGAAAACUUUAUGUGCUGGGAGUAAUAUUUUUCGGCUGGAAAUAUUAUCAGCUCCCUCAGUAUUUUACGGUGUUCUUGGACCAAAUCUGCCAAUCCUCACCAGCUGUUAAUGGCUGCGAUGCUUUACAUAUAUAUCUAUUGAAGUAUUUUGGAUUUUGUAAAUGAAUGCGAGGAGGCUCUGUGCACAGCCAAUGUAUGUACUGUACUUGCACAUAAAUUUCCCGAGCUCUCUCUAUAGUAAUCUACAAGCAUUUAAUAUUAGCUAUUUUGUAAGGCGUACAGAGAAAAAUGCAGGGAAUAAAAUUUUUUAUUUCAAUGC
rnacentral:sRNA from 1 species